GCGGGUAUGGUUUAGUGGCAUAAUGCGACCUUCCCAAGGUUGAGACGCGAGUUCGAUUCUCGCUACCCGCA
rnacentral:tRNA from 1 species